rnacentral:lncRNA from 10 species
UGGCGAAGGCAGCUUCCUUGCUCUUCUCAAACAGAACGCCGUAGAGAGCUGCAGAGGAGAGAGCGGAGUGAGAGCUCUGCCAUGGGCCCCACAGUGACCCUGUUCGUGAAAAGAGCACAGCUUUCCCACUGCCCCAUUUUCUCAACUAAAUCAGAAACAAACGAACGAACAAACAGGGAUUUCACAUUGCGGAUGCGGCUUGUCAGUGGCGAGUCAGUGGCUUCCCCAGCAGGGGGGCAGUCACCAUCCGCGGGUGAAGCAGAACCCAGGAGACCCCGGCCCUGGGAGGAGUCUCAGCCCUCCCCUCACUCUGCAGACAAGGGGCACACAGCCCGGAGAUGAAGCUCGCCUGAGUCAUAUUUUGAGAUACCUGGAUGAGAACAGCUAGAGAUGGCCGGGCAGUGACCACACCUGGACCGACAAGGGACCCUCCAGAGCAUCCAGUACAUCCUCAGCCCUCCUCCACCCAGGACCCCCUUCACCUCCUGGGCAUGGCAGGCUCCUCCCCACGUGCCUGCCUUCCUCCCACCAUGCCCAGGAAGGCCCCUGCAUGGUGGGUGAUCCCCUGGUCCCCUCCAGGGCUUUACACUGUCCCCUCAAGCCCCUCUCAUGUAGCGUUCCCCUAGCCCAGAAGCAGGCCAGGGUGACUCUUGGCACUGGAUCCCAAACCAAGGUUGAGGGAAGAAAAUGCAAGUUGAGACACCGUGGCUACAGGUGGUAGACCACGCCACGUUCUAUGGCUAAAAGUGCCCGGCUGUACUCCAGGCAGGUCGGAGAACCAGAGCCAAUGGAUCCAGGUUAUAAAUAUUCUAGUAAUACAGGCAACUCUAAUUUUAAGCUAACUUUUUGGGAAUAUGGGUUGGUAUCUUUCCAAGAUUUCAAGAUGAAAUUUAGAUUGUGCUGCCAUGAUUAGAAAUUGCUGUCCUCCAAGAAAGGGACUCAUCUCCCUUCAUCAAGUUCUGGUUGGUUCAAGGCCAGCUCAGCUUCCUCCUAAGCAGACAUGUGCUGCUCAGCCCUCUGAGGUUUUCAUGAACUUAAACUUCCUGGGCCCUCAAUGCUUCAUAUGUGUCACAUGAAGAACUUCCCAUUGUCGGAGUCUGGUUCCAAAAUCUGGCCCUAAAGGGGAGAUUCACAGCAAAGAGAGAAAGAGCUGGACUGUCUGCUAGCUCACAUACUUGUGUUCAAAAUUGCCUGGAUGUGUUUGGGAGACAGUAGCGUCCCCAGCCUGGAGGACUUGGGACCCAGAAGGUGGCUGGAAAGCGGGCUGCCCCCUGGUCACACCACAGAACUGAGGAGGCCGAAUAAGACGGGUGUGGCCCCAGACAGAGGUGAAACCCUCACUCCUGCCUGUCUCCUAACACGGCUCUACCCACAGAAGCAGGGUCCACACCCACAGAGGGAGAUGCCUAGGACCCAGAGGAUGCUGCUGGAACUGCCUUCAAGAAAACAAGGAGGAGGAAUGGGGGGAACCAUUCACCCACUCGGGAAAGGGGAAGCCACAUGUGUGAAUGACAGCAGCCCAGGCUAGGGGAGGAGAGGCCAAUGCCAGUCAUAACUAAAGUCAGGCUUUUCAGGGAAUUACUCAAGAUUUGGCUCCUAUGUUAAUCCAAACAUAAAGAGAGCAAUGCAUUUAUUGUUUGUAAUUGCAAGGAAAUACCCACAGCUAAUGACAUAGUGGGGAAAGACAUUUUUUAAAAAGGAAAGUAGACUGAAAACGGUAUUUCAACAAUUCUGAAAUGACUGUACAUGUGUACAAGAUUGAACACAUAAGGAAGCAGUCAUACCUAGUGGGAACCAGGCUUCUGGCUGCUGCAGAAAGGAGUGACAGCUACGCAGUGGGGGCUAGAAUAAGCCCUGUGGUGCUGGAUGGGGCCAGGCAUCCGUAUGAACUUGCAUGCAUUGCAAUGCGAAAGCAGCUGGAGACAGACAUGAACACAGAUGUGUGUACACAGGCAGAACACAGGCAGGUGUCUCCUCUGUCCAACCCUGAGGGCCUGGAGACAACGGCACCUCAGCAGCCAUGAGCACAGCCUGCACUCAAAUCUUGGCUUCUAAUAUAAUUUUCCAACAAAACAAAUGUGGGUUCCUCUGAGAAAUGCUGAUUCUUGCCCUAGAGAAGGGAAAAAUACAAAAGAUAAGCGUGGAAUACAUUCUAGUGCUAGAAAGUAAGAAUGCACUGAAAAGAAAAGCCACAUACACGUGUCUAUAUCUAUUUAUGGCCCAUCAGAAGGACACAAGAGCCAAUGGGAAAGAGCUCAAAGCAGCCACAGAAGAAAUAAUGUGGCGAUGGAUGGUGACCCAAAGUGUAGAGUAAAUAUAUGAGCCCAUGCUGACGCAGAUCAAUGAUUGAGUAAUAAAUACAUCGGGGAGAAGGGACAGGCGUUUUUUAUGGAAGAAUUACAGAGUACACAUAGACAUUCCUCAGGGUGGAGAUUAGCUGCUGUCUUCUUGACUGCUGGCUCCCUGGGCACUCGCUCCCGCAGAACCGCGUGUGGAAAGGGAAGGCAGUGGGUUUGCAGUGGAGAGAUGUGGCCGGCACCACGGAGCCAACGGGAUCAAGGUUAACAUCGCUGGUGAGGAGGCCUGUCCCUGUCCUGUAUCCCCCAUAUGACGGGACAAGAAAGCGCCUCACCAGGGAGCUGUCCUCCGCAAACCCACAGCCCCAGCCUAAUCAUGAGAAAACAGCAAACAAACCAAAAUUAAGGAACAGUCUACAGACUACGGUGCUCUUCAAAAGAGUCCAGGUCAUGAAAAACAAGGAAAAUGAAAAGCUGUCACAGAGCAGCCAGAAGAUCCGAUGACUGAGUCCAACAGGGAAUCCAGGACAGGAUCCUGGCACAGAAAAAAGAACCUCGUGGGAAGCCUGGAGGAACCCAAAUAAAGGCUGUCCCCCGACUAACUGUCACAUGGCAGCGUUACUUCCUAGCUGUUCGAAUGUGCCGUGGCUCUGUGAGAUGCUCAGCAUUUGGGGAAGCUGGCACAGGGCCUACGGGGUAAAUGCGUUGGAUCUAUAGGUUGGUACCUUUCAAGGGGACUCUCUGUACUACAUUUGCAACUUUUUUGUAAAUCUAAAACUAUUUCAAAAUAAAAGCUGUAUUUAAAAAGACAAAGCAUUGCUCUCAGCCUGGCCUGUCUGCCUCCUCUUCCCAGGUGGCCCAGGGUUAAAGAGACCAGGAUGCUGCUCCCGUCCUCAAACACUGGGAUGUGGAUGAGAAGCCCAACGAUGUUGUUUGGUCAAAGAAGACAGUUAAGUGAAUGGGGCAUUGAAGAGAAGUCAGG